rnacentral:misc_RNA from 1 species
AUGUUUAUUAUACACUACAUUAUUUUAAAAAAAGAAACGAGCUUCAGUUAGUGGUUAGACGUUCGACCGUGCACUUGUAAUUUUAUUUUUUCAAAAAAUUUCCUGAGCAAAAAUGCCGAGAGGAGUGCUAGUGUACCGGAAGAUGUUGAAAAACAUUUUAGAAUCAUAGAUUUUUUGCUUGUGUUUUCAACCAUCGCAAGUUUAGUAAAAUGUGCUCAGUGUGAUGGUUCAAUCGAGUUCAAGAGCUGUAAAAAAGAAGGACUCGGCUUCCAAAUCCAAGUCAAAUGUACAAAUUGUGAUCCACGCUUUAUACCGUCGAGUGAGAAAACUGGUCAUUGCUAUGAAAUUAACACUCGUUUUGCCUUUGUAAUGCGUACAUUAGGUUUGGAUUUAGCAGGCUGCAAUAAAUUUUGCGGGCUCAUGGACAUAGCAAGUAGUUUUUUAUCAAAACAAUCUUAUUUGGAUCUCAUGAAAUCUAUUUGCUGCAGCAUCGAAACGACUGCUGAGAAAUUUCUUGUCUCCGCCGCAGACGAAGAAAAACAGCUAACACGUGCAAAUUCGGAGUCAAACACUUUGACCGUUUCUGUUAAAUUUGCAUUUUAUGUAGCUGCAUGCACAUUCAAUGAAGGUGCUGGUGCUCUUCUAACUUUUCUGUCUGACAUGGACGUCAGUGUCGGCCCAAGCGCUCACGAGUAUGCAUCAUCUACGGACAGCAAUCACAUUGAUAGGGCCGAGUUCCAAGCUGUGCAGCAGAGCAAAGAAGCCAGAAUAAAACGAAGACUUGAAAAAAAAACAGGCUGAAGACAUCGACAAUGCUGAAGGAUGUGUGCUGUAUGGAGCUGGAAUUGAUGAUUCUGUAUAAUUUCCGGCCGAGUUACAGUGAACACCGCAAAUUGUUUUUUUUUUCAAGACGUCCGGGGGGAAGCUCUGUCACGGGCUAAUGGUUUAAUAUUUUUGCAUGAAAAAUUUACAGAACAUAGUCAAAACUAUGCUCAAUAAUGUAUAGAAGGUUUGAAUAAAAUUGCUCAAUCGAGAUUUGAGAUAAAAAAUCACAAAAAAAGUGUU